AAAUAGAAUUAUGAAAGGAAUGAUGGAUGAAUAAUGAUUAACUAAUUUAUAUUUUAAGUUGAAUUUUAUAACUUCAAACUACAAAAUAUAGGGUUAGUCUAUCCAUUUUUAAAAUUCAGUUCAUACUUUAUUUGUCAUGAUUCAAAUGAUUAAUAAGUACUUAUUAAGUAUAGACGAAAGACUAAUCCUUCCGAUUACAAAUUGGGGGAUUUUUUU
rfam:Bacillus thuringiensis serovar israelensis ATCC 35646 sq1530, whole genome shotgun sequence.